rnacentral:lncRNA from 1 species
CUCCCCUGUCCACUCCGCUUCUAUAGCUGUUGCCGAGAGACAAAGUAGAAGUCAGCCAGGCGUUCAGAGAGUCAGAGAAGAGGCCUUUAAAACAACGACAGUGCCAUAACUCACAGUGUGUCCACGGGACGAGGGGAAGGGGGGGAGUGUCGGAGGAGGGAGAAGAGAGCGUGAUGAGAGUUGGGGUUGGAGAUAGGGAAGAGUAAUUGAAAGGAAGGCAAAAUGUUCGACUCGUGCGAGGACACUGAGGAUGAGGGAAGAGUCGCGUAGCAAUGACACGGAGGAAGAGGAGAAUGGGCACGUUUGAGGCAGUGAUGGGUGGGCACUGAGUUCAACAGUGCUCCUGUGGUGAUCAGACAGAGAGUAGUUUUUUUGUUUUGUUUUUCUUCAGGAGGAUAUGAUGUGCUCUACAAGAUGACAGGUACUCUCACAUCUCAUAGGCAGAGGCUGUGGGUUCUUUGUGUGGUUCUGUUGGCUGCAGCUGGAGAGGACACCCCUUGCCCAAAAGGUGGUCGGAUCCACCUGGGCACCUGGCAAUGCUAUUGGCUCUCUGAGACGACAUCUUCGUGGCCGGAGGCGCAGGAUUCCUGCAGAGAGAUUCCGGGAGGAGAUUUAGCUUCUGCUGAAAGCCUGGAGCUGCAAAAGUUCAUCCACUACUCCUUUCCUGUGUAAGCGUUACAAGGAAUGGUCUUUGAAAAAGUCUUCUUUCGUGUUUACGUUCAUUAAUAUGCCCUCCUUCCUUUGGUUCAGAAAAAGCACUACAUGGGUUUGGCUGAAGGGAUCGAGCGGAGAUGGAUCUGACAAGGUUGGGUUUAUGGAGCCAGUAAGUCCUGCAUGGUGGGUUGGAGGCAGUGAAAGUCAGGGGGUGUGUACCCAGAAGGCCUUGGGGACACUUGGACAGUGGAGGAAGUCUCACUGUGCUGGACAAUACCACUUCAUCUGUGAAAAAGAAGUAACUGAGUCUUUACCAUCUGUGGAUAGUUACCUGACUGGAUCGGUUCUCAUGACCGGCAUUUACGCUCAGACCCAGAUACAGCCCUUGCCCAAUGUCCCGGACAUCGGACAACUCACAGUGGAGGUCAGUCAGUCUGAAUCAUUUGUUCUCCGCCUAACAAGGGUUCACAAGACAAGAUAACAUCACAUUUUGGUUGAACUG